AAUAGAUGACACCGUUAACUUUUUCUUACAUGUUUAACCAUUCAUCUUAUUCAAAAAAUUUACGUAAUUACAAUUUAUUUUGUUAUGAGUUGUUUUAUCACUCAUAGUACUUUAAGUGUGAUUUAUAUCUUAUACAUUUGCAUAAAAUUUUUUGAUAAGACGAAUGAUCAAACAUGUGAGAAAAAGUCAACGGCGUCAUCUAUU
rnacentral:pre_miRNA from 1 species